AUUGAACGCUGGCGGCAUGCCUUACACAUGCAAGUCGAACGGCAGCACGGGAGCAAUCCUGGUGGCGAGUGGCGAACGGGUGAGUAAUAUAUCGGAACGUGCCCAGUCGUGGGGGAGUAACGUAGCGAAAGACUACGCUAAUACCGCAUACGAUCUAUGGAUGAAAGACGGGGGAGUCGCAAGACCUCGCGCGAUUGGAGCGGCCGAUAUCAGAUUAGGUAGUUGGUGGGGUAAAAGGACCUACCAAGCCUUCGAUCUGUAGCUGGUCUGAGAGGACGACCAGCCACACUGGAACUGAGACACGGUCCAGACUCCUACGGGAGGCAGCAGUGGGGAAUUUUGGACAAUGGGCGCAAGCCUGAUCCAGCAAUGCCGCGUGCAGGAUGAA
rnacentral:rRNA from 1 species